rnacentral:tRNA from 1 species
UGGCCCGUGAUCUGAUUCCAAAUCAGAAGGUUGCGUGUUCGAAUCACGUCGGGCUCA